GCCAGCUUCAAUUCCGUAGUGCAUUGCAGUGUAGCGUGUACAUGACUGCAAGCAUUGUGGGAGUGAAGCCGUCCG
rnacentral:pre_miRNA from 1 species